rnacentral:rRNA from 1 species
AGAUUGAACGCUGGCGGCAUGCCUAACACAUGCAAGUCGAACGGGAGUAGCAAUACUCUAGUGGCGGACGGGUGAGGAAUACGUAGGAAUUUGCCCUUAAGUGGGGGAUAACCCGGGGAAACCCGGAUUAAUACCGCAUGACCUCGAAAGAGCAAAGUGGGGGAUCGCAAGACCUCACGCUUUUGGAGAAGCCUACGUCGGAUUAGCUAGUUGGUGAGGUAAUGGCUCACCAAGGCGACGAUCCGUAACUGGUCUGAGAGGAUGAUCAGUCACACCGGAACUGAGACACGGUCCGGACUCCUACGGGAGCAGCAGUGGGAAUAUGGACAAGUGGGCGCAAGCCUGAUCCGAGCAAGUGACCGCGUGUGUGAAGAAGGCCUUGGUUGUAAGUCGAC